rnacentral:rRNA from 1 species
GACAGAGGGUGCAAACGUUGUUCGGAAUUACUGGGAGUAAAGCGCGUGUAGGCUGCUUCGCAAGUCGGGUGUGAAAGCCCUGGGCUCAACCUAGGAAGUGCACUCGAAACUGCGGAGCUGGAGUCCUGGAGAGGAAGGCGGAAUUCUCGGUGUAGAGGUGAAAUUCGUAGAUAUCGAGAGGAACACCGGUGGCGAAGGCGGCCUUCUGGACAGUGACUGACGCUGAGACGCGAAAGCGUGGGGAGCAAACAGG